GACGAACGCUGGCGGCGUGCCUAAUACAUGCAAGUCGAGCGGACCCUUCGGGGUCAGCGGCGGACGGGUGAGUAGCACGUGGGUAAUCUGCCCAACUGACUGGAAUAACGCCUGGAAACGGGUGCUAAUGCCGGAUAGGCAACUGGUAGGCAUCUACCGGUUGGGAAAGGUGCAACUGCACCGCAGAUGGAGGAGCCCGCGGCGCAUUAGCUAGUUGGUGGGGUAACGGCCUACCAAGGCGACGAUGCGUAGCCGACCUGAGAGGGUGGACGGCCACACUGGGACUGAGACACGGCCCAGACUCCUACGGGAGGCAGCAGUAGGGAAUCUUCCGCAAUGGGCGCAAGCCUGACGGAGCAACGCCGCGUGAGCGAAGAAGGCCUUCGGGUUGUAAAGCUCAGUCACUCGGGAAGAGCGGACGAGGGAGUGGAAAGCCCUCGUCGAGACGGUACCGAGAGAGGAAGCCCCGGCUAACUACGUG
rnacentral:rRNA from 1 species